rnacentral:misc_RNA from 1 species
CCAAUAGCGUAUAUUAAAGUUGUUGUGGUUAAAAAGCUCGUAGUUGAACCUUGGGCCUGGCUGGCCGGUCCGCCUCACCGCGUGUACUGGUCCGGCCGGGCCUUUCCCUCUGUGGAACCUCAUGCCCUUCACUGGGUGUGACGGGGAAGCAGGACUUUUACUGUGAAAAAAUUAGAGUGCUCCAAGCAGGCCUAUGCUCGAAUACAUUAGCAUGGAAAAAUAAAAUAGGACGUGCGGUUCUAUUUUGUUGGUUUCUAGGACCGCCGUAAUGAUUAAUAGGGACAGUCGGGGGCAUCAGUAUUCAAUUGUCAGAGGUGAAAUUCUUGGAUUUAUUGAAGACUAACUACUGCGAAAGCAUUUGCCAAGGAUGUUUUCAUUAAUCAGGAACGAAAGUUAGGGGAUCGAAGACGAUCAGAUACCAUCGUAGUUCUAACCAUAAACGAUGCCGACCGGCGAUCCGCCGUCGUUACUUGAAUGACUCGGCGGGCAGCCUCCG